rnacentral:rRNA from 1 species
UACGAAGGGUGCAAGCGUUACUCGGAAUUACUGGGCGUAAAGCGUGCGUAGGUGGUUCGUUAAGUCUGAUGUGAAAGCCCUGGGCUCAACCUGGGAAUGGCAUUGGAAACUGGCGACCUAGAGUGCGGUAGAGGGUAGUGGAAUUCCCGGUGUAGCAGUGAAAUGACGUAGAGAUCGGGAGGAACAUCCGUGGCGAAGGCGACUACCUGGACCAGCACUGACACUGAGGCACGAAAGCGUGGGGAGCAAACAGG